AACGAACGCUGGCGGCAGGCUUAACACAUGCAAGUCGAACGCCCCUUCCGGGGGAGUGGCAGACGGGUGAGUAACGCGUGGGAACCUUCCCUGUGGUACGGAAUAACUCAGAGAAAUUUGAGCUAAUACCGUAUACGCCCUUCGGGGGAAAGAUUUAUCGCCAUAGGAUGGGCCCGCGUCGGAUUAGCUUGUUGGUGAGGUAAUGGCUCACCAAGGCGACGAUCCGUAGCUGGUCUUAGAGGAUGAUCAGCCACACUGGGACUGAGACACGGCCCAGACUCCUACGGGAGGCAGCAGUGGGGAAUAUUGGACAAUGGGCGCAAGCCUGAUCCAGCCAUGCCGCGUGAGUGACGAAGGCCUUAGGGUUGUAAAGCUCUUUUGGCGGGGACGAUAAUGACGGUACCCGCAGAAUAAGCCCCGGCUAACUUCGUG
rnacentral:rRNA from 1 species